rnacentral:rRNA from 1 species
ACGGGUGCGUAACGCGUGGGAAUCUGCCCUUGGGUUCGGAAUAACAGUUAGAAAUGACUGCUAAUACCGGAUGAUGUCUUCGGACCAAAGAUUUAUCGCCCAAGGAUGAGCCCGCGUAAGAUUAGCUAGUUGGUGGGGUAAUGGCCCACCAAGGCGACGAUCUUUAGCUGGUCUGAGAGGAUGAUCAGCCACACUGGGACUGAGACACGGCCCAGACUCCUACGGGAGGCAGCAGUGGGGAAUAUUGGACAAUGGGCGAAAGCCUGAUCCAGCAAUGCCGCGUGAGUGAUGAAGGCCUUAGGGUUGUAAAGCUCUUUUACCAGGGAUGAUAAUGACAGUACCUGGAGAAUAAGCUCCGGCUAACUCCGUGCCAGCAGCCGCGGUAAUACGGAGGGAGCUAGCGUUGUUCGGAAUUACUGGGCGUAAAGCGUACGUAGGCGGUUAUUCAAGUCAGAGGUGAAAGCCCGGAGCUCAACCCCGGAACUGCCUUUGAAACUAGAUAGCUAGAGUCUUGGAGAGGUUAGUGGAAUUCCGAGUGUAGAGGUGAAAUUCGUAGA